GGCACUGCAGAGGCUAAGAAGACGCAUGGAAACUCGAAAAUAAACAUAAUUCAACUUGUAGACCAGAUUUGAAAAGGAAAUAAUAAAACCAGAAGCUCAGAUGUCAGACACCGAGGCUGCCAGUACCUCUGGAUCGAUUGUCCAUGUGUUGGAUGAUGCACAACCGUUGGUCAGAACUGACAGUGUUUACUUGACCAAAGCUAUGCUUGGAUACAAGACUGAUGACUCAAUAACUAGUAUUGACAACAGUGAAGACGUUAUGUCCCAGGGCCAUCAGGAUCAUCAGAGGAAGGCAAUUUCUAUGAAGAAAAUCUGACCGGUAUGCCUAUACCUUACAUACACAUGGACCUAUUCGUAUCUGAUAUGUCAGUGCAUUUU